rnacentral:rRNA from 1 species
CAUUGGACUUUGAAUCGGUCUGUGUAGGAUAGGUGGGAGGCUGUGAAACCGGGACGCUAGUUUCGGUGGAGCCAACCUUGAAAUACCACCCUGAUUUAUUUGAGGUUCUAACCUUGAUCCGUGAAUCCGGAUCGGGGACCGUGCAUGGUGGGCAGUUUGACUGGGGCGGUCUCCUCCCAAAAGGUAACGGAGGAGUACGAAGGUACGCUUAGGGCGGUCGGACAUCGCCCAUAAAGUGCAAUGGCAAAAGCGUGCUUGACUGCGAGACCCACAAGUCGAGCAGGUGCGAAAGCAGGUCAUAGUGAUCCGGUGGUUCUGUAUGGAAGGGCCAUCGCUCAACGGAUAAAAGGUACUCUGGGGAUAACAGGCUGAUACCGCCCAAGAGUUCAUAUCGACGGCGGUGUUUGGCACCUCGAUGUCGGCUCAUCUCAUCCUGGGGCUGUAGCCGGUCCCAAGGGUAUGGCUGUUCGCCAUUUAAAGAGGUACGUGAGCUGGGUUUAAAACGUCGUGAGACAGUUUGGUCCCUAUCUGCCGUGGG